rnacentral:rRNA from 1 species
UACGUAGGGGGCAAGCGUUGUCCGGAAUUAUUGGGCGUAAAGAGCUCGUAGGCGGUGUGUCGCGUCGGUCGUGAAAACUUGGGGCUUAACCCUGAGCUUGCGGUCGAUACGGGCAUCACUGGAGUUCGGCAGGGGAGACUGGAAUUCCUGGUGUAGCGGUGAAAUGCGCAGAUAUCGGGAGGAACACCUAUGGCGAAGGCAGCUCGCUGGGACGGUACUGACGCUGAGACGCGAAAGCGUGGGGAGCAAACAGG